AUUGAACGCUGGCGGCAUGCCUUACACAUGCAAGUCGAACGGUAACAGGUCUUCGGACGCUGACGAGUGGCGAACGGGUGAGUAAUGCAUCGGAACGUGCCCAGUCGUGGGGGAUAACUGCUCGAAAGAGCAGCUAAUACCGCAUACGACCUGAGGGUGAAAGCGGGGGACCGUAAGGCCUCGCGCGAUUGGAGCGGCCGAUGUCAGAUUAGCUAGUUGGUGGGGUAAAGGCCUACCAAGGCAACGAUCUGUAGUUGGUCUGAGAGGACGACCAGCCACACUGGGACUGAGACACGGCCCAGACUCCUACGGGAGGCAGCAGUGGGGAAUUUUGGACAAUGGGCGCAAGCCUGAUCCAGCAAUGCCGCGUGCAGGAAGAAGGCCUUCGGGUUGUAAACUGCUUUUGUCAGGGAAGAAAUCUUCUGGGCUAAU
rnacentral:rRNA from 1 species